AUACGAAGGGGGCAAGCGUUGUUCGGAAUAACUGGGCGUAAAGCGCACGUAGGCGGAAUGUUAAGUUAGAGGUGAAAUCCCAGGGCUCAACCCUGGAACUGCCUUUAAUACUGGCAAUCUAGAGACCGAGAGAGGUGAGUGGAAUUCCGAGUGUAGAGGUGAAAUUCGUAGAUAUUCGGAGGAACACCAGUGGCGAAGGCGGCUCACUGGCUCGGUACUGACGCUGAGGUGCGAAAGCGUGGGGAGCAAACAGAAUUAGAUACCCCUGUAGUCC
rnacentral:rRNA from 1 species